rnacentral:tRNA from 1 species
GCCAGCGUAGCAUAGGUGGUAGUGCGCCGGAUUUGUAAUCCGGCGGUCGGGGGUUCGAAUCCCUCCGCUGGCU